UAACACGUGGGUAACCUGCCCAUCAGAAGGGGAUAACACUUGGAAACAGGUGCUAAUACCGUAUAACAAUCGAAACCGCAUGGUUUUGAUUUGAAAGGCGCUUUCGGGUGUCGCUGAUGGAUGGACCCGCGGUGCAUUAGCUAGUUGGUGAGGUAACGGCUCACCAAGGCCACGAUGCAUAGCCGACCUGAGAGGGUGAUCGGCCACAUUGGGACUGAGACACGGCCCAAACUCCUACGGGAGGCAGCAGUAGGGAAUCUUCGGCAAUGGACGAAAGUCUGACCGAGCAACGCCGCGUGAGUGAAGAAGGUUUUCGGAUCGUAAAACUCUGUUGUUAGAGAAGAACAAGGAUGAGAGUAACUGUUCAUCCCUUGACGGUAUCUAACCAGAAAGCCACGGCUAACUACGUGCCAGCAGCCGCGGUAAUACGUAGGUGGCAAGCGUUGUCCGGA
rnacentral:rRNA from 1 species